rnacentral:lncRNA from 1 species
GUCUUGAUCCGAUCCUUCCUCGGGGCAUUGCCUGGGUUAUGUAGUUCUUGCUUGUCUUCUUUCUUACCAGCACCCUACUUGAGAACAGAGCUUUCUCUUGCUUACUUUCGAGCAGAAACAGAAUGGCCUUCCCUACCACCCAUCUGGUGAUUCUCUCGUUGACUCCACUCGCACUGCUUAAGAUAUAGCUUCUGAUCUUGUUCUUCACUCCCUUUUAUCUACUCUCGCUCUACCUAUAAGUCGUAAGAUAGGUUCCUCCCUUCUAAGGAAGCAAUAGCAGAGGUCAGAUCAGGCAAUUAUGUAUUAUGGCCCAUAACUCGUUCCAUUCCUUGUAUCAGUGAUUGCAUUCUGUAACUUCUUAGGUGCAGUCUUGGAAGCAUGGGUUUGAGUCUAUCACUCCCUUGUUUGGUUCUUCGAUUGACUUGUUUUAGUCUGUAACUACCCAGUAUAAGUCUCAGUGGCACCCGUAGCAGUCUUUAACUACCUUAUUUCAGGCUUGGAAGCGGUGUUUGAAGUCUUGCUGGCACUAGUGGAAGGAUUGCUUGCACUGCUUUCAGGCUUAGAUACACUGGCUACAUUCUCGGGGGUACUGCUUUGAGUCUGAGAAGCGCUGGUUUGAGGCUGUUCCUCACCACUAUCAGGCUUGUUGUUACUGCUUUGAUUCUUGGACUUACUCGUUCCAUCCUAUCCCGUCACUCGUUUCAUUCCGAUUGGUAUUGAUUGAAGCCUGAGCGGCAGUGGGGUAAGCCUAUCACUACUGAGUUGAAGUCUAGCUACCCUUGCUUUCAGGCUGUCACUCCCCUGGUUGAAUCUUGCUAGCCCUACUCUCAGGCUUGUAGUUGUUGGUAUCAGUCUUUGAUGCACUGGUUAUAGCCUGUAACUACCAAGUAUCAGGCUUGCUCGCCCUUGGUUGAGUCUCAUCUUUGCUAGCUCCGUUCUGAGUAGCACUGGUAUCAGGCUUGGAAACAGUGGUUUCGGUCUUAGCAUCACUAGCUCUAUUCUGUGACUUAUGGGUUUUCUCCUUUCUCUUACUAGCUCACCUCUUUAACUCGCUGGUUGCAUUCCUUAACUUAGCAGCUCCACUCUAUCCUUUGCUCGCUCCAUUCUUUCCCUACUUAGCUUCAUUCCGAGCCUACCUGGUUUCAGCCAACAAGCAACUAAAGUGCACUUUCAUUCUAACUAUCCUACUUUUCUCCUCUAGUUUGAUCCUAUAGAAAUAGAAUGUUGAAUGCGAACAUCAACAGCGUCGGUAAAGUAUAAAGUAAGUAGCGCAAGUCAGCGGUAAGCGGGACAAUCUGUCUUAUCCCUAUACUAGAUAGAAGCAGUGCAAAGUUUAGUAGAAGCAGUGCAAAGUUGGCAAUAAGUCUUAUCCAUUGACAUUCCAUUCCAUUAUUUCUGCUCGAAAGCGCCUGCAUCCUCACAUUGACGACUUGGGUCUUAAAGCGACCUAUACCUUACUACCUAUACGUUACUACCUAGCCCUUCCUGGGGUUACUUGGAUUCUCUCACAGAACAGGUGCACCUACAUUUCAUUCAACAAGGACCUGUAGUUUCCGUUUCAGAUGCCAGAUCAGCGAGCUGCUCAAUUCCUCUCUUUUUUAAGGAGAGAUAUUCUUUUACAGGUUGGACAGUUUGAGUUGAGUCCUUUGUUGAUGCUAGUUAACGAGUGAAAGGUUGACUUGACUCGGUGCGAGAGCUGAUAGUGGAAGAGAGAGAAUAAGCUAAUGCGGUGCUAGUUAAGUAAGGGAAUCUUUACUGCACUGCGGAAGCUAAUGCUGUUGUGCUAGUUAAGUCAUAUCAAGAGGAUCAUAUAACUCUUUUUUUCAAAGGAGGUAAAGUAGAAAGUGAGCUGCUCGCCGAAUCCACGUUCUCAUGACAUGCCCACUACACAGUUAAAGAAUCUUGCAAGCAGUAUAUUAUGAAAGGUUCCGUAUCAAGUAAGCGUUGGUCGUGGGGAAUUGCCGAUAUGUUUCUGUUCGAGUAGAGAGAAGAAUCCGUUUCCUAAUAAAUAAGCAUCAGAUAGGUUGGGAUCUAAUAAAGCAGGAGAAUAAGAUGAAUAAUAGGAUACCGCAUAGAGCGCAUAAAGAGAUUUCAUUAGAUUAUUAAAGUGGAGAGUAAGGGGAAGGCCAAAUAGACUUAGUGUGCUAGUGAGUUCGAAAAUCAUCUUACUUAGUAUUCUAUCAGGUACAGUCAAGGAUUUCCGUUAUUAAGCGUCAAUGCAUUUAAAGGACUGUUUCCGAGGUCCAAUUAGGAAUUUGCUGUAAGAGGAGUUGACCGCAGACUCUCAAUCCGGGUUCAACGCCAGCCUUGUACUCUAACUCAGGGUGUUUUGCCUGAACCGAGAUAAUGGUCUUCCUUAGCACACUUCAGUAUCGGGUGUAAGUGUAUUCAUAUGUGUUAGAGCUUCCGUGAAUGAAUCCAUUGUAGUUUGAGUGUAAUCCCAAGUUUCAAGAUCAUAAGCGAUAGAAUCCGCAGUAAGAGAAUCAUCUGUUAGGUAGAAAGUUAGUGUUGUAUCCUGUUGCAAGAGAAUCGGAUGUUAGGUAGAAAGUUAGUGUUGUAUCCUGUUGCUCCCUCUGAUGCGGACUCUUCCAAAGCUCACGCCGCCCUUGAAAGUGACUUCAUUUUUGACGUUGCUUGUUCCCUUGCUUAAGGAAAAGAAUCCAGAUUGGAAGCCUAACCCGCUCCAUACUUGACUUGAACGAUAGGAACGUACUACUGCUAACACGCCCGCUCAAGUAAGCUAAUGCACAACGUUGAGCUCAGUUAGCGAGUCACGAAAAUCAAGGUGAACGUCUGCUUCCGUUAUUGGUGUUAGUGCUUGUGCGCCGGGCAGGCUAAUGCACUUAGUUCGUUGCUUGCUCCCUUGCUUCUUGAAAAGAUGGGUUGAGGCCUUGUUCUUGUUCCUUAUGAUGAUCCUACUCUCACUUCUUAUACAGCUCUUGCAUCUGAUCCAUAUCUUUCAACUCUCACUUUCUACUUAACUUUUAACAAGGUGGAAUCUAACUCUUCCGAAAGCUUAUAAGUUUCGCUCUUCUUACUUGGGCUAUAAAUUGUUGAAGUUUCGCUCUUCUUACUUGGGCUAUAAAUUGUUGGUUGGGUCAAUCCCCAGGGCAGAACAUUUCUCCUGAAAUAGGAGUUUACCGGACGAGUUUACCCUAUACAUUCCUUUCUCUCUUUCGGAUGAGUAAGCUAGUUUUGGAUCUUCAUCAUAAUCGGGUUAUACCCAUUGUUAGUAUCAUAAACCUAUAUAAGCAGGUGGGCACUACCUGGACUUUAUCCCUUCCGGAGUCUAGUACCGGGUAACGGGAGUCAAUUUUCUGCCUGGUGGAAUCAUUGUAUUUUUACAGCAUUCGAGCGUAUGAAAUGGUCGUGCAAAUCCCAUAAGUAGUUGCCCUAUCGAAAAAAGCUUCAUAUAGCCUCAGAUAUGGCUAAUUAGGUAGGCAAUUCCGUAAUAGAUGGAGCCUUGAUAGAUCGCUUCGUUCUGUCGCUCCCUCUCCUUUGGUCUCAGACAUAGAGUCUUCCAAGGGCUAUCGGGUUUACGUACAGAAGGAGCUCGUCUUUGUCUUGCGGGAAUGCAACACUUGGAACUCUUUCUUAAUAUACAGAAUCCAGCAGUUCGAUCAAGGUAGAAAGAAGAACAGCCGAGUAAUCAUGAAGAGAGACCGAACCAAGGACAUGAAUCAGCAGAGCCUCCGAGGCAAAGACUCUAAUUUCAUUUAUUCUCAUCAUGGACGGUUGAAACAGGAUCUGAUCUAUAGGAACAGAAUGAGGCUCAGCGAACGCAGAUUCCACUUUGUUUUCUACUUUCCUUUCUUGCUUUUCUAACGGAGAGGGCACCUUAAGUCUGGCAUCCAAUCCGAAUCAUAGUUGGAAGUUGGAAUAGCCCGAGUCGAAGAAGGAAUUGAUAUCCAUAUUUGAGUAAACUAACUAGAAAUCCAUCGAGUGUGUUAGAAAUCGACAAACUCAUCCAUUUGACUGUGCGUGCUAUCAAGAAGCGGCCGUCCCUUUCAGUAACUCCUAUCUAACCAGUACUUCCUUUCUUCCCUUCCUAGCUCACUCAAUUUCUUCCUCAUUCCGCUACCAAUCUCUCAUGACCGUUUUCUUUCACCUUCCUUUUUCUGCAGUACAAAGGGAAAGGAUAUAUUGGAGUAACAAAGGGAAAGGAUAUAUUGGAGUACAAUAUCUUGCAUCUACUAAAAAGGAAGAGUCGGAGUGAUUCUAUCCAGACAGUCCGUAAAGCCAGUAGGAGUGGUUCAGAAGUCAAGUCGAAUUGUGGUUGUUGACCUACAGAAAGCAUGGGAUAAAGAUGCACAAAGACGCUAACGUCCGCCAGGGUCAAGGGGUUGUAAGUGAUUGCCAGUCGACGAACAUAGAACAAAAGCGAUGGAACACAAACAGAAUCCGCAGGCAGAGGGCAGUUCUCAGUGUGACUAUUCUGCAGGGUUAGAGUUUUGAUGGAGUUACCAUUCAGCAGGGUUAGAGUUUUGAUGGAGUUAUAUUGUUCUAUUUCUAGUUCAAGUGGGGAUCGGAUCUUUGCAUCCAGCUAGCGAGUCCGGAGCCGUUCACUUAGGUCAUAUGAGAAUAAGGAGCCUAUUUUCUUUGAAAGCUCAGUAAACCAGUUCACUCUUGGAUUCGACUCUUGUUUCUUUCCUUCGUGCGAUUCUUGCGAGGGAUCCGGGUUGAUCACGAUUGGCAUACCUCUGACUCGUGAAAACCCCUUUUUUCUUUAUUUCCCGCAGACUCAAUCAUUUAUUGGCGCUUGUACAGCUCUUUCUGCUUUUUCAUGAUCCGAUUAUCCCUUAUCUUGUUUGAAGCAGUCUUUUAUUCUCGUGUCUGAGAUCGAGUUCAGAGCCCAGCCGGGCAGUCAAGUCACUUUCAUCCCGGAAAGACGGAAAUUCUUCUUAGGCCCACUUAGCCAAAUGGGAAUGAUACCCGAUUUCUUCCUAUCGAUAGAACGCUUCCAAUAGCUUAAGAGACAAGAGCAAGAUAUAUCUACGAAUUACCUCAGGGAACAAACAAAUGCACCUUCAACCACUUACAAGACAGGCAAGGAAAUGGUUAUAGAUCAGGAUCCCCAUUUCCUUUGGGACCACUUAGAACGAAUGCAAGACUAGAGGACUCCCCUCAAAGAAUAAGGAUAAGGACGAGCGAUCGGGCACCAAUGAUGAACUUCACUUUACGAUGUGAAACUGAUUCCUUCUGGCUUUAGAAUGUAAAACCCCUGAAAGUUACGUAAGUACUCAUUUGAUAUUAUCUUCCAUCAGUGAGUUCAGUUACAGUCGUGGGUGGAAGGGGCUUUUAGCUUGAUCCUUUCUAUAAGUCUAUAAUCAAAUGUGGUCCAAUCGGCCCGAAGGGAAGAGCAAGUGUAAGGGAAGAGAAAGUGAAAGCUCCGGAAUGUAGCUUCUGGUCUUGGCGCUUAGGAAAGUUGCCUGCUUUUCGUUAUGGCUUGAGACUGUGGGACCUCCUGCCGAAGGAAGUCAUUCUUUCUCUUGUUGAGCGAUUUCCGUUCCUUCCGUUCUUUAGUCACAAUCGAUGGAAAAUCCAAUAGGCCAAAUGCCUUUACUCGUGUAAGCACCAAUGCUCUUGCUCAAGCCGAUAAUGUGGUCUAAGAGUCUUUCCCUUAAGGCAUUCACUCUAGCCGGAAGAAGAGACCUCGAGGUUCGUUUUUGACCUCUUGAUUGACUACUACAUCUAGGGAAGCUCAGUUGGUAGCUUGUUCGUGACGCUGCAGUUUCUUCCCCGUGUAUGCGCCGAGAUGGAACACUUUUUCUUAGAGGUCCUAGACCAGCUGUUGCAUUCCAUUCUUCCACCGAUGUGAUUCCAUAAUAGCGGAACUAGGAGUCAAUGGUUAUGUAUAAAGCCGGUAUGAACUCUAAGUCUAAGCCACUUUCAUGCCAUGAGGAACUCUGAGACCAUGAGCCUGAAGGAGAUGACUAAGUAAGGAUCAGACACUACAAGCAUUUAAACCAGAAAUGCAUUUCAUUGGCUUUCCUUACCUUACCAGAAUGUAUAGAUUAGUCAUUUCCCGGAGGUAGUUACUAAUAGAUUGAGUCUUUCACUUCAAGGUGGGGCAGCUACAAAGCCCAGCUUUUCGUAAGCACUAAAGUCUUUGUAUCAAACUAUGUUUCGGUCAGUAAGGCAUCAGAGUCAAGGGUGUGGAGUCCAAUCAUCCCACCAGACGAAAAUGAAAGACUUGGGGCGGCCAAAGAGCAGAAGAAGUGAAAGAUGGGUAGAAAGCCUUGGUCAAGGAAUGAAUUGGGCGACGAAGCCAACAAGCAAGGGGAAAAGUGCUAGGCUAGCUGCAAGAAAACUCCAAGCUAAAAGGAAAGAGUGGAUUCUUGCGCUCAGUUCGUUGAUUCUGACCUCCCACGACCCUUCUAGCCGAGUAAGAGCUUGCCUUGCCUUUAGUUGAUUCAUACUCAAAGAUGCGGUAUCAAGUCAAGUUAUUGAAGAUGCGGUAUCAAGUCAAGUUAUUGCUUCGUGAGAAAGGGAAGGAUAUCAUAGUGAAAGAGAAAUGGGAUCCGUUGAUUUGUAUGCUUUAGCGCGGACUCGUAUGCCCAUUCUGAUGCGGCGCGGCGGGAUCACCCACUUCAAAGCCCUUUCCUUUCGCCCCUGCCUUGAUAUUGGAUUUUGUGCAUUUGCCCAUACAUCUCCCUACCUAAAUAGAUAGACCACCGGGAGAACAAACUAAAUAGAUGGGACCACCGGGAGAACAAAUCCAUCCAUAGCUUGAUUCUUGCCCACUCCCACCCUAAAAGUGGAGAAAGAAAAGAUAUCCGCUUGUACAAGAGAAAGAGAUUGAUAUAAUUCUAAACGCGUGAUAGUUUAGCUGGGCGGAUCGAGAAGAAUCAUUGAACUUGAACACCGGAGAAUCACGAGAGAAUCUACCUGUGUUUCGGUAUGCUGGGUGGAAUGUUUUCUCUUAAGUAGCUGUUCUGAGUUGUGACAUACUCAUUGACAAUCUUAUUGCAGAUAAGGAAUCGUUGAUACGCAGGAGUUGUUAAUCUACACCACUACCUGAGGGUAAGGUGCCAGUAGUUGUGCCCGAACCAUCUUUUGAUACAUACCGGCCUACUGAACGAUCAAAGGUGUCCACAAUUAGGUUCUAUUUCCUAAUAUAGAAAGGCGAUGCCACAAAGAAACCUCGAAUCUGGGGCCCCUCUAGAUGAUAUGCCCCUAAGGACGGAUCGGACUCAGAGCUCUCGCAAAGUGAAGAGGAAAACCAAUUGGAAGAAGUGGUCUGGCACGACUUGAAGAAGAACUGAUAGAAAGAAUUCCACUUAGUUCACUGAUUCUCUCCUUAAAUAUUAAUAAGCACUGAUUCUCUCCUAAAAGAUUAAUAAGGAAGGCAAGACAAAGCUGGAAUUUAUAUCCGUGGUCCAACUCCAUGAUCUACUUGAAGUGAUUCUUUGACUAAGUGGGGGAACGCAAGCUGACACGGCGCAACCAACCUAUAUAGAUUCCGACUUUUCCAAUGUUGGUCAGUGUUAAAUACGGGUUUGGAUGGUGGUGAUGUUGUACCCGAUGGUCUUGGACGGUAUGGGUUGUUGCGGGAUCCGGCUUAUGAGGAUUAUUGGUGGGAUGGCGAUCCCUAUUACUUUUGGAUAUUACGAGAAUAGUUACCAGGAGGAUGAAGAUGCACACUAUCAUGAGAAACCUCCAGCAAAGGCUAAGAUUUAUGCCUAUACAACGUAUAAUUCAUUAUUAUAUCGAGCCAUUGGAUUCUGAUAAUGAUGAUAUGGGGGAGAGCCAUUGGAUUAUUCAUUCGGAUACGAUCCAGGUUAGUGUGGGGCUUCAUUUACAUCCAGGAUUUAUCGAGACGAGAAGGAGGAGGGCGGUUGGUUACCUUCCUAUAUAAUACCUAUAGUGGGGAACUAAAAUGGUUCUGUUGCUUCUGUUGCUUCGAGCUUACUCUCUUUCAUUUCUCUUUUUGACUUGAUUGGCAGGAUGAGUUUAUUGUUGAACUCAAAGCCGCAUGGGGGCUACGUUUUUUUCCUAAUAAACCAUCAUAGCCCUAACGUUAUUAGUAAGGAGACGAAAUACAAAAAGGCAUGGAGACUACCCGAUGAAAGAGACUUAGGCAAGUCAGAAAUACAAAUAAUCUCCUAAAAGGCCCCGACUCCGCUACCAUUCUUCGACUCCAUAACCGUAUUCUUAUCUUCUGGGAUACCCCACUUUUCUCAACCUUCGAGACCAGCCCAAGCUCCAAGGCAAGGGUGAGGAAAGACAGAAAAGCAGCUUACUUGGGAAAUCCACUGAAAGAAGACUACCAACGAUUCGGCAGCCCACCACCUCAUAUCAAUCUUUCUUAAGAUACGAGAAUUCUGCCGUCUUCAGGUCCUUCAUCUUCACGCGAAAGCAACGCAAAGGAGACGCUCAUUUCGACCCAACUACUCUAACCCUUAUCUCAGAUCGUAGAUACAACCAAUGUAGGAAUCCAAGUGUUCUUUGUAUUCAAAUAGUUGACUAGGAAUAUUCCGACCCGUGCUAAUAUAUUCAUUAGUAAGAGUCUUAGUCUACAAAAAGCAUAGGAAGAGUCAACGAAGAAGGAAAGCCACUAUACCCAGAUAGAGAAUAAGGUGCUUAGAAGAAUCCCAAGUUUGCGUCUGAACUUCUGCAUCUGCUCAAUACGGGAUACUCAAAAGAAAAGCACGGACAGAGAAGGAAGAAGAGAAAACCAAAGAAGAUGCUACUUUCAGGCUCAAGUCUUAACGUUUUCACAUCUGCGUCUUAAAGUCAAAGUAUGCUCGUCGGCUAGAACCUCAUAUUCCAGUAAUAAAGGUAGAUUACUAGUAUGGGAGCUUUAAUGAAAUUGAGCAGGUAUGUAUUAGAAAUCUGAAAGCAAUCCCAAGCUGGUAUAUAGACAGCACCCUCGCUCCAGCAAGCCUACUAGCUAGAAUCAAAGAAGAACAGUGACUUUUCCGCCAACAGGAAGGGGAAUAGCUAUGACAAUCCCUUACCCCCUUUUCCUACUCCUACUUAUCAUCGUUGAUACCGACUAGUGGGAAGAACGAAUAGGAAAGCAUUAAUCGCCGGCAAAGAAGCCUUCCCGUAGUCUUUCAUUCCUGAUCCAAUGGAAUAUUCUAGAUUCUAACACGCGCCAGUGGAGCAUCACCCUUUGAGUAUCGCAUCGGCAAAAGAAGAUCAAAGAUUCCACAGGGAAUACAUAAUGCCUGGCAAGAGAAAUGCAAGAAAACUAGGGGGCAGUCUAACUAUCCGCGGAGAAGAUAGAACUGAGGGGAGAAUGCCCAGAGACAAGAGAGACACUAGUAGGUAAAAAAGAUGUUGUUAUGUAGCAUUGAAAAAGACAGACAUAAGGCUUAUGAACAUCGUUUAUGAAAACAGUAGUAGUAUCGGCGACAAUGAAAGCAUGCCUUACAUUACUACUGGGUUUGAGUUCCGUUAUCUGAUUGGGAUAACUAAGCUUUAUACCUAUUGUUUGAGCUUCACCACCAACCUUUCCCUUCCAUUGGAAUUACCAAAUGAUUUGAGAAAUGUCAUCGUAGCUAAGAGAUCACUCUUUUGAUUAUUCUUGCAUACCUUUCAGAUACACUCGAAUGAAUCAACCUGAGAGUUCAGAUUUCUCGUACUAUUCAGCUUCUCCUUUGAAAGACCUCAGUACAUAUCUCAGUCCUCAGUCCAAGACAAGACGGACGCAGAGCGGGUAACAAUCUCGCGUGGGUAAGAAGAAAGCGCCAUCCCGAUACUGUCUAGCUGCCAUACCGCUUUCCAGAGCUAGAGGGUAAAGCAAAGACUCAGACCUUUGUCGAAAAGAGUCAUUCCCUUUUCUUCCUAGUCAUAGGCGAAGGAAAAAGAGGUCGAGCUGGAAGGAGCCUUCUCUUCAUAUGUGGGAUGGAUUUUCAGAAUAUAAGCAUAUGGGAUAGAUUUAUAGAAUAUAAGCCCGUCCACUGCCCUGCUGCUAUGAGUUGACAGUAUCAGAGGCUCGGCUCGAGAGACCUCGCAUUUACGAGACUUACGAAGCAACUUGUUAGCCCAUCGCUUUAUGGCUUACAGGAGUUGCCUUAGUCUUACUUAGGCGCUUGGUCGACACACGAAGACAUCGAAAGUCAGAGACCAACUCCUUGUGUAGAAUGAAAGAAUGAAACACUACAGUGCUGUAGCUUGCCGUGCGCUCUCACCGCCUUAUUCCCUCAGACACUUACUUGCUUGGCCCUUGCUUUACUCACUCUAAGUCUCCUACUUGCUUCUUCUUCUUGAACCCCUAACUCCUAUUCUUAUUGCUUAUAUAGGAUAUAGCCUAAGACUUUUCCUUUGCAUACCUCUAAACUGACCUUCCCGGUCUAGGCCUGUCCUGUUAUUCCUAUAUCACUAUAAUAGUGUAUUUCCAUCUCGCCAACCUAUCACUAAUAGGCAAGUUCGAAUUCAACCAGUACCUAUGAUACUGAACCAAGGAGUCGAAAAUAAAGGUAUGGUCCAGCGCACCUACUAAUAAGAUAAGAAUAUCAAUUCGGGUAUGGUGUAGUGCCUAAGAGGAGUCGUAGUAGAAGUCAGGUAUGAUAGAGCGCCCAGAAAGAGAUAGAACAAAACAACUGAUAAGAGUAUAACUGGAAAUAAGGAAUCCCCCGGCAAUCCAACCACUGCAAACAAUGCUUUCACCUCAAACAGGGAAUGACAUGACACUGCGAAAAACUAGAACCGACCCAGGGAAUACAAGAAUCGAACAACGACUUAUACACAACGGAAAUUACAUAUUCCAUAUAAGCUUCUAAACCAUAGCAUAGAAAGAAGUGUUUAUUCUACUUGAUGUAAGAAAAGGCGCUGUGAUAAGGUCUGUCAAAAGAGUCACAUAAGGUCUGUCAAACGAGUAACAUAAAGUGCCUCGCCUACUUUCUUUGUCUUAACGGAUUUAUGGCCCUUGCAGCAACUAGAAGGGCAGCGACGCUAUCCAGCUUGCUUGGUUUCAAAUAGUGCAGUCCCGAAAAAGAAUACAUUCCAAUACUCGUUCUUGAUCAACCUAUGAGAGUCCAACUUUAUAUGAUGGAAUUGCUAAGAAAUCAAUGGCUUUCGACUAUAUAUAGUAUUCAUACCAUUCCCAAAAUGACUCUCAUUUGAAGAGCUUCAAUCUGACUUCACGAAGAGCUUCAAUCUGACUUCACAGUAGAAAUGGAUAAGAUGCAAAUCCGCUUAUUUGAAUUUGAAACAGUUCGUUACGCAGAAGGAAGGACUCUUUAUAGCCAUUAGGAUUUGAUGUCAUUCAUCCUUAAAUUGAACAGUAGGCAUGCCGGUGAUUAGGAAAGAAAGAGGUGGUAGUUUACCUCAUUCGUUCGGUCCCAGCCCUUGACUUUAGGGCGUACUUCUUUAGAGUAGAACUACAUUAUUUAUGACUCACCCUCCCACUAGCCUACUCUGACUAUUAAAGAGAGAGCUCCUUAUUACCAAAAGAAACUCGCCUAUGUAAAGAUGCUUUAAUAUGAUUGAUUCUGGCUUUGGAUGCAGGAUUACUGGGAAAUUGAUAAUGCCCCACCCUCCUUUCAUUCUAUAAAGAGACAGAGAUGGAAAUAGAAGGUCUUCCGCCAAGAUUCUUCCGGAAAUACUGGAAUCAUCAUCAUCUGCGCCUACCUCUGUCCUGAAAGUCAUCAUUUCCGUCAGGGAUUAGACCUAGGGAGAUGAAUAGAAGCCUUCUGGUCUUCAUUCCUUAGCUUGAUAAAGGGGAGAAACCUUCCCAUUAGGUUGUGCUUGUGCAAUGUCGUUCUCAAAGCAAUAUCCAAGGGUUCCUAUCUGGCUCUUUCUCAAUGAGCUCAUUGCUAAAAGCUGCUUUAUCGCCUUUCUCAACGGUCCCCAAUCUUCUUCUCGUCCAAGAACUAAUCCCAUACUACUAUACUAUGAGAUAAAUGAAGGGUCCUUACUCUCUUUCUCGGCGUGAAUCUCCAGCCAGUAAAGUACUUAUUUGGAUCUCUUAGUCGUAAAGUGAAUCUCUAGCCAGUACAGUACCUAUUUGGAUCUCUUAGUCGUGAAUAUCUUUAUAGGAAGGAUGCCGUGGCUAUCUUUGCUUCUCUACAAAAAACAAUUGGAUCGUGGUGCUCUCUUUGCUUCUCCACAAAAGACAAUUAGAUUAGGCUCGGUCAACCAUAAGUUGUAUUAUCUAUAUGAUGAUAUGUCCAAUUGAGAAGAACCAUCGAUCUGAGACUAAAGGGGAGAUUUCUUUCUCAUUGAGAAGAACCGACAUAAAGGUCUAUACUCUGGUUGUUCGCCGUUCCAGAAUGAUUGUUGAGGCAGUUCAGAUCAUAUAAUACAUAGUGUUUUGAUCAAAGAUUGUCAUUCUUCUAUGUUUCCUGCAGUAGCAUAUUGUUCCAUGGUCCAAAAUAAGGAAUCCAAAGUGUUUCCACGACUCUACCACCCGGCCAAUCCUGUUCCACUUAAUCCCUUUUUCAUGGCCACAUAUCUUUACGGCUAAGGAAUGGGAAAUCUCAUAUAGAUCUAAACAAAGGAAUGGGAAAGAAGAUAUCUCAUAUGGAUCCACACAAAGGAAUGGGAAAUCAAUCUCAUAUAUAUGUUCCAUAUUAAUAAUGUUCAUCCAAUCUGUCAUUUCAUCCGGGAAAAGCCAUCCCUUUCGAAACUUAGUCUUAGUUAUUUCAUCCAAUAGCAUUCUGUCUGUUAGAUUAUUUCAUCCAAUAGCAAGCAUUCUGUCUGUUAGAUGGAGAACAUUAGAAAUACUUGAGAUGAGAACCAUCGGAGAAAAGUAUUAGAACGGAAAGAUCCAUAUGAUAAUGAACUAUUGCGCUCUCUGGCGAUGAAUCAACAAUGAUAAGAUUCUUGCGUAUUCUUGAGAAACCAGCAGCAUAUUAAUCUUUCUAUCUAUAUCUAGAGAAAGAAGAUACAUAUAUGAUGAAGAUAUAUCUAUAAGGAUAGGGAGUAUUAGUUUUAGGAAGUAAUAAGCCCCGCCCCCUUUCCUUUGACAUCUCUUCAUCUGCCAAAUCAUUCUCGACGUGAAAACACAGAGACAAAGGGCUGAUCUUUGAAUAGGAAAAAGAAUGGAUCCGCAGGGUACCCAUUGGCAUAUUGGAAGCCUUGUUCUUUGGAAGAUCUAUCUCGUGUCUGGUACUGCAUGGUUUCACUCUGCAAGAACUCCGAAUCAUUCUCUGGAAGCUAAUCCUCCUUAUGAGAAAUGAUACGCUUGCCCCGAAAUGACCCAGCCCCUAUAGAGAAAUCUCAAUUCCUUAGAGCCUUUUCAAUACAAUAAAAUGGAUUGCCACAACGAGCCCAAACCACGUGAUUGAAUACAUUACAUCCUCCUCGAUCUCUUGCGGGGUACCCUUCUUCAAACAGAGAGAGAGAGAUUCGUUCCAUAUAGAGAAAUCUUAUCAAUAAUAGAAUAAUACAGGGGUGCAUCAUAUCUAACUGAUUCCUUGGUUUGGACCGAAGAAGUAAUGUGACUCCUGGGCUGGGUUCGGACCGAAUAGUAAUGUGACUCCUGGGCUGGGUUCGGACCGAAUAGUAAUGUGACUCUCUUAUUCUCAAACUGACAGCAAUCUUUUUCUGUCUGUUAGGAUCCCACCGUAGCGCCUUCUAAUAGGCCAUGAACUAGACAAGAGAGCGUACGCCUUCUCUUCUAAUGGGCCAUGAACUAGACAUCUAGCCUUCUAUGGGCCAUUAACUAGACUGAUACUUCUAAUAGGCCAUGAACUAGACAGAGCUCUAAUAGGUCAUGAACUAGAUUCUCAUGAUUCUGAACGAAUCCAUAAGAAGUAAUCCCCUUUUAUUCAUCAGGUCCGGGUGAAGACCAAAGAUCUUGAGCGACCGAUCCGGCAGAACAACUCAAAAGAUAAAGAAGUAUCGUUAAUUUCUUCAUGCUCGUCCCAAGUUGAAGUACCAUUUAUACAAACCAAUAAGAAUCCCCUUCUUGUCUUUACAUUCUUUCUUUUUCUAUAGAAAUCUAAAUAGCAACCUUAUAUAUUGGACCUAAUAGAGAGAAAUCAAUAGAAACAUUAUAUAUAGGAUCUCUGGGGCAGGGCAAUUACUUAGAAGUACAUUUUGUGCAACAGCCCUUCCUAUCUGAUAGAUUCGGAUCCCAUGAUCCUGAACCGGGAUCGGAAAUCCAAGUUUGUCUAUGAGGAGCUGAUCCAAUUGUAUUAGUUUAUCCAAAGUAUUGAUUCUGUUUCAUACUAAUAGAUAGGGACUCCUUGAUUAAGUGCUACAAGAUUUCGUAGGUAGAUAGGGACUCCUUGCUAAGUGCUACAAGAUUUCGUGCGUGCAUAGGAACCCAUGGUUAUGGACCCCAAUCCGUUAGUAUGGAACAUUUUCUUUUCCAAGUAUGCAAUCCCCAUAUUAAUUAGAAAGAAUGCUAAAGUGCUUUCGUUGUUGUGGUUGUGGAAUAAGAAGCCUUCCUUCGUAUCAUAAUGCAUGCAUGUAUUUCAUUUCUUCGGAGCUAUUAGAGCGGGAUCUACUUUUUAGGGGAAUAUGAGUCGAAGCUAUAACAAGAAUAUUUCUAGUAGAACAUCUUUCACAAUCUAUGGAGAAAUCAAUAGUUCUCUAAUUGACCUCGGGAUAAGUAAAUUGACUCAUUCACAUACGGAUCAUGAAGAUUUGGAAUCUAUAGAAUCUCAUUAUAGUUGACAUUGCUUUUGCUAAUUAGAAUGGAAGGGUGAGAUAUCCAAUCGGUCUAUUUUCGGCGUAAUAUACUGAGUUAGCACAUGAAUCAUAGUUAGCUGCUCCGUAUCGAAUCAUAGUUAGCUGCUCCGUAUCAAGGUCAUAAUCCAUAUCGAGAUCAUUACUAUGAAAUGCUCCCAAGAGUUCUCUAGCUAUAUUUCCAUUAUGGAUUAUUAUAUUAUUUCUAAAUGAAACUCAUCAAUAAGAGAAUCGGCUUGUCAUCCGGGAACUUGUUCGGAAAUACCGUAAUGAAAGGAACAUAGGGGUUUGUCGCUAGGUAUUUGACCAAAUAGGAUCGUCCAGUUCCUAUAGAACCUAUCACCCUAUGGAACCUAUCACUAAGAUACCUCGGGGCGAAGGGCAUAAGGCUAAGCUGAGCUCAAAGGGUUAUCCCUGAGAUGGUCAAUUCACACAAUGAGUCUAUAGCGCCACACGAGGUUUGUGAAUAAGUGAUUGUCUGAUAAUGAGCAGCAAGGAAUAUCUGUCUUUCUGCUAAACAGGAUAUAAUUGUGAUAAUAUAAGAGAAAUAAGGAAUUCCAACAUUUUGGAUGAAUGUCAACUAAGUCUCUCCUGUGAAUUGAUCCCGGUUGUUCAAUCAUUUGAUCACCAGAGUCCGUUUUUCAUUAUUCUCACUAUAGAGUCAGACUCAAUAUUAUUUGAUCAAUCCCUUUUUGCUGUCGUUAAGGUGGCCAAUAAUUCUCUUUCUUUAUCAUCAAUCACUGUUCCCGAACCUAGACAGGGAUUCCAUUCUCUCAGCAAUCCAAUCACCGUUCCACCUUUGAUUUCGAAAGGAAGAUUGGAAGAAUCAAAUAGUACUGGCAGAUAGUGUUUAUAUGGCUAUCAGAUAUCAGAUAUAUGGAUCUCUAUAAAUAACCCAAUAGAUAGAUUCCAUUGUUGUACGACGACGAUGUCUUGUAUUUCUCGAAGAGUUAUGGGAUUUGCUAUAUUAGAAGAUCGAGAUUGAGCUCGACGAUCCAGAUUCAUAUCAACCCGUGGAAUAGUCCCCAUAAGCGGGACCACUACCCAAAUAGCAUGUUGCCACCAAAAGCAAAACCCCGUAUUUCUUCCAGAGAAUCUCCUAAUUGUUCCAGAGCUACUAGUAGAAAAGAGAUUAUUUAACCAGAUAGAAGGGCAAUGAAGUGAAGAUGUUGGAUACCCACCCAAAGGCGCUACUCAAUCAUGUAUUAAUUUCAAAGAGACACUAUAUCAAGUUGACCAAUAUACAUAUGAGACUAGAUACUAUAUCAAGUUGACCAAUAUACUCUAGCAAGAGUACCAAUAUACUCUGACUAUACAUACUUCAAUCACUUCUAUCCUUCCCACAAAGGUGAAAAGCGCCCUAUACUAAGAUUUUCUAUUUUCUUUCUCACUCUGUCUGUAACUCACUAGAGGCUCAGGAAAGAUGGAGAAUCCGUAUACUUCCGAGAUAUCCAGCAAUAAAUAAGAAUCCGGCAGGAAAAGGAUUGAAUAGAGGAACUCCCGAGAUAUCCAGCAAUAAAUAAGAAUCCGGGAAAAGGAUUGAAUAGAGGAAUUCCCGAGCAUUUGUUGAUCUCUGAUGUGUCCAUAUCAAUAGAAUGGGUUACUUAUUAUUUCGAUGAAUCAUUUCUUGUUGGGGGACAGACAUAAUAAGAUUCUUUAUACACUCUCCCUCUCUCGAAAUAUAACUUAUCAGAGUCCAUUCCAUUGUAUUGUGAAAGAAGAUGAUGAGGAAUUGGCCAUGAUAUAUCUGAUGCAAGCAUAAUAGAAUGCAAAAUGGAUACAAAGAGGUAACAGCUACUUUACUUAGUCUUUCUUUAUUGGCAAUCGGUCUUCAAAAGUCUCAAAAGAGUGGGCAAUAUAUAGAUUUGAACCCAGUGUCGAAGUCAGGAACCAUGGCCACUAUGUUGGUAAAAGAUUCCUUUUGGAUAGAUUGGAGAUAAAAGCACUAGAUAGAGUAGAAAAGCUCUAUACAUCCGCCCUUUCUCAACGCUGUUCUUUAGAGAAAGAUUCCCUUUUUCCUCUUUCCUUACAGAUGGUCCAUAUUUCUCAUAACAUUGAGUGUGAAUCCUAUAUGUUUGAAUGGAAACUGAGAUACUCAUGCAGUUGCGGCUGCUGCUGUAGCUCAAAUCCAAGUAGUGUAGUUCGGGUUGCUUUGACCUUUAUUGUCUUAGAAAGAGAGAAUCUGUGGCAGUUUCCGUUGGAGCCACUUGCUUCGGCCGGAAAAGGAAUCCUAAGUGACUUUGGUCUAGGACGUAUUCUUUUCUGGGUCUUGGGUCUUGUAUUUGGAGAAUCCCACUCCCCUUACUAAUCACUAAGAGUUUUUGGAAGGAACAAGAGCAAGCUUAUUGAUUGAUUCAGAGAUAAUGAAUUGGGCCUCUAUAUAAAGAAAGAGAUUAACGUUUAUUAUUAACAAAAUCAGAUUAGUGGAGUGGUGGAUUUGAUUAGGUUGUGUGGAAUCAUUCGAUAAUGUGUGAUUCUUUCUAUUUGAAAAUGUUAUGUAAAGAAUAUUGAUGAUUUAAGUAAAGACUACUCCCUCCAUUCUUUGUGAGACUACUCCCGCCAUUCGGAGCUCAGUUUCAUUGUCUACUACUCUAUUCUAAACUAAGUUUCAUUGUCGUGUAUAUAGGUUAGCAAUAAAACCCCCUUUUCUUGUAGCGAAAUCAAACCAGUCUUACCCUUAAGCGAAAUCAAUCUAACCCGUCUUUAUUGUCUUGUCUUACCCUUAAGCGAAAUCAAUCUAACCCUUUACCCUUCGAAAUCAAUCUAACCCUUCCUUUCUUGACCCUGAUAUUCUAAAGUGUGUUAUUGCCGUAACAAAACAAACAAGUAUUUUGGUUCAUUCCAAAUCGUAAUCUUUUAGUAAGUACUAGAGAUUGGUCGGAAUUUGUCAUUCAUUCAUUCUCACUCUAAUGAUAUAACUCGAAUCUUAUUAUUGAUUUCUGAGCGUAGGAGGUGGGAUAUCCAUUUCUCCAUUCUGGAGUAUUUCAUAGUAUGGAAUUUUCUAGGCUUUCAGCACCUUGACUCUAAAAGAAAGUAUGAUAUUGAUCUUUAUUCAGGUUCUAGGGAAAGGAUCAUCCAGUAUAUUAUGACUUGAUUUCUAUAGGCCAAUACAAAGUUCGAGAGUUUCGCUUGUGUAAGAGCAUUGCAUUUCUCAGAAUAUAACAAGCCUUAUUACUAUCUUGGCAUUAGUCAUUUCCGGAGUAUUAGCCCCGGUUAGUGAAGGACCAGAGAUGCUUUCUUUCCUCUCGAGUUAUGAAUCAAUCUGGUAUAUAAUCCAUAGGGGAUGCUUGGUUACAAUUCUGAAUAAGCUCUCUUUUGUGCCGGUUCUAUGCAUGGCGAAAAGGAGCAUUGGAAUGGUCUCUUACCUUCCAAUUCAUACAAAUCAAAUCAAGCAGAAGGAAAAGAUAUUACAUUGAGAAUAGAAAGCUAUGAAAUGGAUUGAGUUUCUCUUAGUUGACAAAAAAACUACCAAUUCCGUUCUUUUUCAAUUACACAUGAAAUAGGUCAGUCAAUACUUUCCUUUUUAUUGCCUUAUUCUAUACGGUACCAGUUGUUGUUUCAUUGAAUUUGCUUCAUUAAUAGGCGUCGCGAUUCUACUUUGAUCGUUAUGGAUUGGUACCAAGAUCGAGUCCUAGGCAAGCAGACAUAAUUCUCACAGCCGGCACAGUAACAAUGAAUAUGGAUCCUUCUUUAGUAUGAUUCUACUUUUGAGUAUUCUUAGACUUGAGUAUUCUUAUAUUCUAUUAUGCCUGAACCGAAAUAUGUCAUUGCUAUGCGAGCUUGUACUAUUACAGGCAGUACUUAUUCUUUCUUUACAGGAGGAUUCCUUAUUCAUUCUUUACUGGAGGCAAGUACGGAUUCAGAGUACUGUUCGUGGAGUCGAUAAGCUAAUUCCUGUCGAUGUCUAUUUGCCGGGCUGCCCACCUAAACCAGAGGCUGUUAUAGAUGCUAUAAUUCCACUUACAGAGGCAGUUAUAGAUGCUAUAAUUCCACUUAGUAAUAAAUGAUCUCGAGAAAGAUUGGAAGAUGGAACUGUGUCUAAACAGGAAUAUCGAUGUUUGACUACCAAUCACAUGUUUUGUGUUCGACGCUGUAUGAGUACUGGAAAUUAUGAUCAAUAAUUGCUCCAUCAAUCACCAUCCACUUCUUAGAGACCUUCAGAAAACACAUUUCCAAAUCCAUACCACGAAUUAGUGAAUCAGGCAAGGUAAGGUUAUUUUGUGCAGAAAGAAAGGGCCAAGCUACUACAGUUCAAAGAGCUAACUACUCUACUACUAGUAUUGAUUCUGGGCGCGACUACUCCACUACCUGUUGGGGCAAUCACUAUACUUUAAUAACUGGCUUCGGGCAAUCGGUGGGCAAGGUCAGCAGUUAGAGCAGUGCCGAGAGAAGAGAAGAUAUUAUCUAUAUUGCUAUCAGGCAAGUAACUCCUAACCAAACAACUAGUAGAAAUGCACCAAUAAGUGGUGUUCACAGAGGUAGAUUAGAGCCCUGCUCAAGUUGCCUUACUUAUAACGGUCGAAUUGCCAGAGUUAGGUUAGUUGGUAAAGAGAAAAGAUGCUGUUCGAGUUAAGUUCUAGCCUGAAUCCUUUGUUUCAUUUAGUACUGUUUCUGUUCUUGUUGCAUCCUAUCUUGUUGGAUAAAAUGAAGGAGCUGUGGGAUUAGAGUCAGAGGUAAGCGGGAAGUUUCAAAGAGAUGUUACCUGUUGCCAUAGGUAGAUGAGAGCUAUAGUGGAUGAGAUGAGCCUGAGUCGAGGUCUGCAAGGUCAGCUGCUGCUCUUAUAGUUAGUUUCUGCCUUUCAUUCCAAUAGAGACUUGUGAGUUGAAGUAUCAAGAGAGCCCAGUUCCAGUUCGAGGUCUGUUAUUCAAGUUGAGUUCUUGUGCUCUAGGUUAAGUGAGCAACAUUAGGAGUGAUAGUUCCUGUGCUCUAGGUUAAGUGAGCUACUGUAGGAGUGAGGCAAAGUAGUAGUAAAGUGGAAUCAGAGGUUGCAUAGAAGUGAGAAGAUAGGAGCAAAUAAGUAGAUGAGGCUCCUCUCUCUAUUUGUAGUAGUGACUUGGCUCGUUGCUUGGCCCUUUCCUCGAACCGAAACUCUAACCUCCCGAGUAGCCAACAAAAGCACUGGCCUGGAAAUUCUACAAAGAGAGAUUUUCUUAGCCUUAGCAAUGAAGGGCUUUCUCUUUAGAUAUUUAUAUAAUAACUGAGUUAGUUGUUUCAUGAAAUACCUUGUCUGGGUAGUAAAGUUCUGGUUCUUGUUGAAUACCGAGGGGGUAGUAUCACCUAUGUGCGAAGUACGAAAACCAAUGGAAUUGACUGAAUGCCGGGUAAACAAAAUCCUUAGCCUGAUGGGGGGGCAAAAGAAAGGACUCGCUUGUGACUUUGAUUAUAUCUAUAUAGUAUAUGGAGUUCCAACAAGUUUCGUUUCAUUCCUUGAGUGCUCGUUAAGUCUAGGAAAGUAGUUAGGGUUGUCAGUUCAUAAAGUUAUGGUAUAGAUUGCUGGCCAAGUCACUAAGCUAAGGUAUCGAUCAAUUCCCCGGUUACCGGAUCACUACAGCUAUAAGGGAGUUCUUUCGCCAUGGCAUUACUUGUUCUGUGCAACUCGGAGCAAGCUUUUUUAGCACUACUGGGCGAUCACUUUCGGAGCAAGCUCUUUUAGCACUACUGGGCGAUCACUUUGAUAUAUUAUUUCUUUUUCUACUGUUCCCUUCCACUUUCGUCUCGUAUCUAGAAAAAUGCAUCUAUUGUCAAGUUACUAGAUUAUGCUCUUCUGCUCUUUCAAGUUGCUGGCGGCUCGCUCCUUUACUCGGAUCUUUCAUGGAAUUGGAACUGAAACACAUUGAAUCAAGUUUAGGUAAUAAAGGGCGGUGCAGUAGAAGAACGCUGGUAAGAUACUAUGGACCACUUAUGGAAUUUCCUACUUGUUCUUAGUUUUGAGAUCCUAUAACUCUUAAAUCCUAUGAUUGGGGUCUUUGGGCUCUAUCUUAUUUAUUAUUGAAUCUAUAGAACUCAGGACAGACUAAACAAGAGAAUCUGAAAAUGAAGGAUUCCAACGGCAAGAGAGGCCAAGCGCAUAUCUAGCCAAAACGGAUUCUUUUAUACUGUCUUCCUUCAUGUGCUAGAUCUCAGAUCCGCUGCUACUGCUUCGUCCAGCACUAUCCACAACUGUCUACCAACGGGCCUUUAGGAAAAUGGAAUAGGAAAAACAGCAAGCAAGACUAUUACAUCAUAAGAGGUGCACACUAAAUUCUUAAUACUUUCGGAUCUUCUAAGGCGAGUAGUGAUUACUUCUGCAGGAGCUAUGACGUCAUUACCAAUCCAAAGUGUUGCCGGAGACUGCCCGGAGUAUCCUAAGUCGAACGUUCUCUCUGCUCGAUAGGAUGGGUUCUCCCGAGUGUUGCUGGAACAAUAGCAUUAUGGAGUUCACCCCGUUAGCUUUGGAUACAUCAGUAGAAUCUGUAUUGGUUAACAGAGGUGGAUGAGCAAUAGGGUAAAGAUGUUAGGAAGAAAGGAGCUAUUUCAGCACUUCUGGGGUUUUAUGGGAAAUGGACCUAUGAGGAGAUGAAACCAGCUUUCCAUUGCAUUAGAAUAGGGUUUCUUAGGGUUCGAGUAGUCCACCGGCUUUGAGGCUAGGGUAGUGGACUGACUUGGUGAAUCCCAAUGCUAGGCACGGGUAGUUGUAGAAUUCCUAUACAUGGAUUAGAUGCUUGUGUUAAGCAAUGAUACAAUCUAUCUUCUUAGUCUACAGAACACCCCAAAACAGGACUUGGUAAUGCGAAGAAAGGCGGCCGAACAGUAGUUACUUGCCCAGUGUCUUGGCGGAUCAUUUUGACUCUCUUUAUAUAUGAAACCACUUCCACUGAUUCCUGCCUAUGUUUUACUCAGAUCAGAUGACCUCCCAGCAGUCCAAGAAUCAGAUAGCCCCUACCACCAGACAGAACCAACCCACUAACUACUAGACGCCAACAGUGCCUAACGAACCAAACACCGCACUAACAGCCUUCAACAAAGGAUUCCAAGCCUGAAACCGGUGUAUCUGAGACUUCACCCAAGCAGUAUGAGAAUGCAGCUCGGUAGUUCAAGACUCCAACCAGUGUUUGCUCGGACUCAAACAAGGGCUACUUAGAAUGGAGCUAAGGAAUCCAAGGUUUCACAAAGGGAGUGACAGGCUCUAGCUACUAACUACAGGACUAAGACAACUGCUAGCAAGGCGGAAACCCCAGCUACUGAGACCUAAACCAGUGCAUCUAGAGGAGGAGAUCCGAAUUCGACCCAUAAGUAAGCAGAAUCCAACUGGGUAGUGCAGGGCUAUAGCUACAUUCCCACCGAUUGACCGAGAGACUAUAGAGUCAGUAAGGAGUUCAGAAUAAGAUCUAGUUUCAAAGGCUCACACAGGACUUGAAGUUAAGAAAGAAGAAUUAGUUGACAUAGGAGAGAGAGGCAAGAUCAGAGGAUAGAGAGUCAAAAGAAGAUCACUUAAUUAGUUGGUUGACAGAGCCAGAGAGGGCAGGUUAGCUAGUCAAUUGGAAUUUCACUAGUCUAGAUGCAAGCCUAGUAACUGACUUCGGGCAAUCAGUGGUAGCUACUAAGAUCAGAAUGCAGAAUUGAGAGUGGAGCCUGUAGUUAGCGAGUGGAAUCCCUUUAGUACUGCUUGCUCCUGUUCGAGUGGAAUCAGUGAGUGUCUUGGCGGGUAGGAUAGGCUGGUUUACAUACUAGUUAUUGUGGUUGACUUACUUGUUUAAAUCCUUCAAAAGAAGAGAGUAGACUUCAGAAUCCAAUCCAAUGGGAUGAAAAAAACACGAAAACAAAAUGACAUUGCUCCUUGUUUUGUAAGUACCGGAGUGAUGAGUUAGGAGUUCAAUGAAAUACUGGGACCUGGCCCAGCUACUAUUAGUACAGGAGUCCGGAGUAACAGAGUUUAAGACCUGAGGAGUUUCAUGAAAUACUGGCACCCGAGUUAGACACUCGACUUGAAGUUCAGAAAUCAGAAUUAGUUGACUUAGGUAGAGGAUAGAGGUGAAGUGGCAUAUGUCUUAGUUGCCCGAGGAGAGGGAUAGUUUACAGUGAAAGAAUAUCAGAAUAAAGAAUUCCACCACAGUAUACACAUAGUAGGGAAAAAUAUAGGUUAAUUUCAUAUAUCUUUAUAUAGGAUGACUGCUUCCAAGACUUAAACCAGGUAGCCCGGAACUGGUGGGUAUAAGCUUCAAGCGCGGGGUCAGCUAGUUGGUAUCAGUCUAUCCGCCCAGAGUAUAGGUAAAUUAAUAUAGAGUUAAUAGAGUGAAAGAGUUUUGUAGAGGCCUAGGUAUUUAUACGUUCCUUAGCAACCCGGUCAACUCCAUUCUUAAAGAAAGGAAAGAGCAACCCAGCCUCUCAUAGAUCGGAAUCAGCUAAGGUGGUAAAGAGUGAAACGUAGAAUCAAGAAUGAGUCCCCGCAAAAGGGAAGGAUGAAACUAAGCGGUAAAAGAAAUCCACUACUGCUUCUAAGACAACAACAGUACACCCUAUGAUCCAACUGGAGAUAAAGAAUCCAGCUAAGAAGUAAGGCCUACCCUACCAUAUCAGAAUUCUCGCGUGGGGCUGCUAACAAGAUUCUCACUAGUACAGUAGUAUUAGUAUGAUGUAGGGCAUUAUAGCUCAUAGUAUUAUUGGUAUUAUGUAGGUAGGGCAUUAUAGGACUCGGGUAGUGAGCACCAGAACUCAACCCAGUAGUUGUAUAAGAAGCCCAAUGAACGGAGGCAGGUAGACGAAGAAAGGAGUUACUGUUCCGCCGGGCUGUGGAAUUAUGCCCUCCGCUUAACUUCAUUAGGCUAAUCUAACUCUGGUAGGCUUCAAUACCUCACUUUAGAACUGGAACUGGGGAUUCUCUUUCUUCUACUUUUGUGAUUGAAUGAAGAUCUUUCUGUUCUGCUCUGGUUGAAUCCCUAUACUAGGGGUUGUUGUUGAAUGAAGUGACUAGGCUAGGAAGGAAGUUACUAGGAAGUCCGUUACUAGUUAUGAAGUCAGUUACUAGGGUUGAGUAAGCCCGAAGUCAGGAGUAAUAAACCCUAAGUUAGUAGUUAGUAGGAAGCCUUAAGCCCUAAGCUAUGAGUAAGCCCACCUAUUGCCCGAAGUCACUAGUUUAGUCUAGUUCCCUUACCUAGCCCCAGAGGAGUUGUAUAGGAGAGAGGUCAAGUGGAAAGUUAGAGCCAGAGCCAGAGGUAUUAUAUAGGAAUAUAGGAGAUGAGCCUGAGUUAUAUUAGCCGAAUUCUUCUCAUAGUUGACAGCUGCUAGUGGAGAUGAGCCAGAAGUCCUAUAUAAGAGAUGAGAAAGAGGAGAGGAAGUAGUUUUGAGUGACUUUUCACUUUCGAAACACCUAAUGGCUUAAACGACUAGAACAAAGGGUUAUUCACUGCAAACACACCUAGUAGUGGCCCCCAAGUCCCUAACAUCUCUUGGCUCCAAAUAUAACUCGCUGUUUCGUAAGCCUAAGUGCGUAAGCUAGUUCUUUCCGAGCAGUAGGGAGAGUAAGGCCAGUGGCCAGUAUCAAGUCAAGUUGCAAGAAAGGAUUUCAGAUAAGACUCAUUCCUUACAUCCAAAUAAAGACUUGUUUCGCAGGACAAUAAGUUGACCUCUCUCUCCACGAUUUUGAUCUCAAGGAACUACAGCAAAGCGCACAACUACUUCAGAAUGGAAUUAGUUUACUACGGUAUAGUUUCCAGAUGGGAGCAAGAGGUAUCAUAGGUAUGUAUGCUCAAUGCUUAGGUUGUAGAUGUAUCGGAUAGGAAGUAAGAAAGUAGUUUACUUAAUAAAUAGUUUGAUUAGUGUAUCAGUCGAUAAAAGUACAAAUAACAAAGAUGUUGCUAGGGAAGGGCCUCUAUUCUAUGGUUUCAAAUAGUCCCAGUUUGCCGGAUUAGAAGCUAGACUCUCAUUCAACCCCGACCUAUCCUCUCACAGCAGCUGAUUUUAGAACGGAUACUAUAAUAAACUAAGUCCUCAUUCUUACAGGGUAUCCUCGUACAAGUCGGGUAGCUGCCUCCGUCCUGUAGGCUUCUCCUCUAGUUUGUGAAUUAACAGAGUCUUUCCUUGCUACGGAUUGGGUUGUCAAUCAGAUCAGUAUAGAAAGAGAGGCCCAUGGGUUUUGUGUGAUUCUAAUUAAUGAAAAUGGAACAAGCUACUAAAGAAAGGUGGAGUUCAGAGUGACUUAAAUAAGUAUAUAAGUAGGAGUUAGUCGGGGAGUUAAUUAGUAAAGAAUAAAUAAGAAACUAGAUGCUUAGGAGUGAAAGAGUCAAUCUACUUCUCCAAGGUAAGAAACAUAAGAAUUAACCAUGGAUGAUCCACACAAGUCCAUUCCCCCGGGGCCGCUCUUCAUACCCAGUUCCAUUUCCAUUUCUUUCUCAUAGCAAGCAACGUUCAAUGAAUUCUUAAGCGUUAAGUAAUCCCAGGCCUUACUUACUGUUUGUUGUUGAAAGAGCUGGAUCGAAAGCGGGAUCUGUAUCUGUUGCCAGCAGGGUGAAGUUCUGAAGUUAAUAGGAGCCUCAUUCAGAUAUAAAAGAAAGUCUAAAAUCAAUUUCGAAUUGCUUUGCUAUGAUCCAUACUAAAUUCUACUAAAUGCAUUAUUUAUCUUAUAUGAAGUUGAAGUGAAGUAUCCGACCUUUGAACAGAGUAGUAUAUUAAGUCGCACCCGGCCCCACAUCUUUUGUUUUAUUGAUUGAGGACCCGCUUGCUACUGACUUUCACACAGCUGAUUCAUUCUCUGACUUUCACACAGCUGAUUAAUUCUCUGAGAUAUACUUUCUUCGCACCAGCCAAGCUACAUAUACAAAGGCACAGCUAUGGACCAAAAGCCCUAUCCCUAAUAGGCACCAGUGGACCUGAAGUAAACCAGCGGAGUGGAAAUAUCAAUAUCAUAAUUAUUAGUUGACUCAGGUAUUAAUGAAGCAAGUCCUAAGGAAGGUAGAAAUCCUAAGGAAGGUAGAAAACAGAGCUAGUGUUCGUCUCCUAUUGCUCCUGCUCCCGAGCACAUAAAUCAAGUAGGCAAGCUGCGGCAUACAAUGAGCCUGAGGUUACUAUUUAUGUUCUACAAAUCUGUGUCAUCUACUAUUGGCCUGGCCUCUCCUUCAGGGUGCAAGAGAGAGAAAGAGUUCAAUCUGUUCGUUCCUAAAGUAGAGUAGAGAAAAAGUGAAAGGGAAGGGCGCUAAAGGAGUUACUGCUGCUGGCGUGAGAGGGUCCGCUUGUCUUACAGGGGAGAUACCAUUUCAUCUUUUAUAGCAAUACGCCAUUUCCUCUUUUAUAACAAUUGUAAUAGGAGCUAGAUCCAUCCCUUAUACUUAAAGAACAGAACUUCCCACUUCGUCCCUUUCUUUUGAAGAAGACUGACUUUAUGAUGCCUCCACUGCCUCUGCUCCGGACUCCAGUAUUGUAUUUAAUACCAGUGAAAAAGUAAAGUAAGGAAAGGUAAGUUUCAACCUAAGAUACAGGUAUGGAAUUGUCUCCCUUGCUAACCUCCAUUUGAAUGAAAACUGACUGAUGAAACUCUAAACUCCCGAUAAGGUAUUGAAAUAUUCAGACAGCUUGCCCAGUUGCUUGUCGUCUUGUCUAGUAGUCGCUUUGUUAGUGAAAUACCUGAGUAGUAGUAGUAGCAGUAGCAAGAGGAGAGGUCGGGAGUGAUAGUGAAAAGCCAGUAGUUGGCGAUAGGCUAGUUUACUUACUUAGUUUACUUACUUAGUUGACUGACUUGGUUUACUGACUUGUUAGGCUUGUUUACUGACUUGGUGGGGUCGGGGUUAACUAAUUGAAGUAACAAACUGGGGUGAACUCAAAGGUGAGAAUGAAACUCCGCUGGGAAUAGAACUGAUUACAGAAACUAUAGUAGUUCCUUGGCGGUCGUUAGUAGUUACUUGCCUGGUGAACGAGUCCACAAAGAAUUCCACUUAAUAUAUUAUCUUAUCUAAUUCCUAUUGCGCUAUUUCGAUUUAUAGUACCUUCCUUUCUAUCUGACAGUAAGUAGCCUGGCCUCUCCUUCACUUGGAGACACUUAGACACAAGCAAGACAAACUACAUUGCCAAUUUGAUGCUUCCGUGCAAUAGUCACUCUGAUGCGGAUACUUAGUCUUGGGCCGAGUCAACCAUAUCUUGGAACGAGUCAAACACAAAUCCGAAUUGACAGAAAGACACUGGACUUGCUCAUAAGUAGAUGCUUGUCCUGUUCUUGUUAGAGGAGUACCUAAUUCUUAAAGGAAGGAGUUAACGGUUGGGGAAAUGGAGAACAAGAAUCUAGUAUAGUAGUAGCUGGUUGGUUAAGAGCACUGGGUGAGGUUGGUGACUUAGCUCUAUUAGGUAGGCCAAGCUUGCCCGUAUUUCUAUACAAGCUGUCUGUCUGCUUCAAUUCCGAGUUUCAUUCCUUUACUGACUAGUGCAAUUCCUAGUCUACUGAGUUGCCCUCUGUUACUGACUUGUUUCAUUCAAUGACUUUGUUUGAGCUCCAGUGGGACAAGAAGUGGAGUUACCAAUCUGUAUUUGUUUACUAAGUCCUGUGCAACUUGACCUUUCCAUUUCAUCCCUUAGUUGACCUUUCCAUCUCAUCCCUUAGUUGGUUAGUAACCGGCCUGGCCUCCAUCAUACCUAGAGCGAGAGCUGGGGAAGAAACAAGGGCGGAGUGCCCAUCGGUUACAAGACUCAGUGCGCUAACUGGAGUUGUGGAAUUCUGUAUUUGUUUACUACGGAUAGGUAGGCUAAAUCCAAUCUCUAAGUCAGAUCUCUAAGUCAGAGCGAGAGCUGCGGAUUCUAUCUCUUUCCUGAAUUAGUAACAUUGGAACAAGCUGCGUAGUUAGCCCAAGUCACUCAGGUAUUAAUUGCCCUCAGUCAGUUACUAGGCAUGCAUCUAGGGCAACUAUGUAGUUAAAGUCGUAAUUACACUCUCUAGUAGGCAAGUAGAAUAAAACAAGUAAGUAUGAGACAACCCAGUAAGUAGUAGACUCAGAAUGGAACUAAGUAGUAAUAGUCUAGGCGCCAUCCCUUGUUUCAUCUUAUUUGGAAUUAUUAUUAUUUAUAAAGAAAGAAAGUACUGGGUUAGGGCCCACUUUAGAGUGCAAAGUCGCUAAUACAAAUGAUGCUGGUCGAGUGGAAUACCGAAGAUUGACUACACCGGGCACCAAUUACUUAAGGGCAAAGGACAGAGCAGAGCAGAGGUAUAGUCAAAGAAUUCCACCAGUAAGCACAGCUCCUAAGAUCAGUCUUAAACUAGUGCAUCUAAGCCUGAGAGCAAGGGUAGCGAGACUGAGAGCAGGGAGUCAAAGAAUGGGAGCUAGCAAGGGUCAGAUCAGAAUUCCACUCGGCAGUCCAAGAAUGCAAGUGAACCGGAGGGGUCUCGUUGCUUGGCAGUUUCCAGAGUUAGAGAAUUUCCCCUAGUUUCAAGCUUAAUAGUAGGGCUUGGAGUCAGAGUCCGAAAGAAGAAUUAGUGGAAGUAGAGUGAGAGUUGAAGACCUUUAGUAAUGCUCCUGGUGGUACUGCCCUAAAGUUAAUGGCAUUGGCAACGAGAUCAUAAGCAGUGGAAGUAUCAUCAGCUGGAUAAUUGCCAGGAAUUGAUGCUUUUCUUACCCAAACCCGGAUAGUACUAUGGAUAAAAGAAUCUAGUACUUUAGUGUUGUAUCCAGGAGCAAGCUUUUAUAUAAAGGCAAGCAAGCAGGAAUCGGACAGAACAAGCAGCGGUCAUAAGUGAAACCAGAUCCUGUAGUGGCUCAUGAAAUGAGAAAUUAUGACUUAUUAGUGGAGAGCACAGGGUAGGCGAUAAAGAUAGCCCUAUUGGUUCAGAGCACCCACUUCUAGAAGUAAUCAAUUCCAUUCUUCUUUACUUGCUCCAGCGGUAAGUGUGACUGAUUUCAUAGGUAGAGUUAAGAGUCACUUGGCCCUGUUCUGGUUCUUGUUCUAGUGGAAUCCCCAGUAGAAUCAGUAUUUUGAGUAGUUGCGUGUUUCAUUCCUUUCUUUGCCUCUGUAGUAGUUGAUUGGCCAGCUGCAGGGCUUGUUUUGUUUCAAGAAGUAGGCGUAGUGGUAAAGUUCUGGUUCUAUGGUUGACAGCCCCCCCAAGUAGUGGUGCAUAUAAGUCAUUGUUGCAGUAGAUUCAUAAAAGGCAGGCUCCUAGGAUGGAGCAGGCGAUAUAGAUUAGAGAUGGAUAGAAAUAGGGGAUAGUAGGAUGGAUUGAUGGAUGGAAAUAAGGAUUGGAUAGUAGGAUAGAUUGCAGGAUGGAAAUAAGGGUUGGAUAGUAGGAUGGAUUGCUGGAUAGAACUAAGUGCUUCUAGUAGGAUUUCGUAUCCAAAAAGGAAGAAUGCUUUAUGCCAACAGAGGAAAGUUGACUAAAGUUCGUAACAGGGCGGGGAAAGGAACGAGGGAGGAGUGCUUUAUACCACCAGACCAGAGGAAAGGAACGAGUCGACGCCAAACAUAUAUUAAACAAAUCAAACCUCAUCACUAUAUUCAGAUAGAAUGAAGGGUGGGCCAAACUCCAAGAAAAUGCACCAAUCACCCGACAGAAAAUGAACCAAUCACACGACAAAAUGCACCAAUUGUCCGACGUCUCACCGAGCGAAAUCGCACCAAUCACCCGAUAUAUCGGUAUGCUUUUGGGAAGGAAUAUUUCAAGGGUAGGGAUCGGGCUAGUUUACUUACAUGUGCCGGGUGUGGGUAGGCGUGUCUUGUUAGGGGGUAGGCUUGUGUCAUCCCAAUACUUUGAUAGGGGUGGACUAGUGGGCAAGCGAGUAGGUUCUUUCUAAAGAAUAGAGUUUACUUAACACAGGCAUAAUUACUUCAUUAUGGCGAAAAACAAGAGAUCAUUCUCAUAUACUCACUCAGUAUGGACACAGUAGGGAAAUAGUAGGGAAAAAGAACUAUCCAAAUCUCUCUUCUUAUUAAAGAUAGCGUCUCUCUUCUUAUUAAGGAUAGCGUUUAGAAAGAUCUUCUCCAGUCCUGUGGUUGCUGCUGCCACUCGGGAUUAGGACUUGGGAACAACCCAUUAAAACUGUUAUGAUGAGUUCCUGGUCUUCUAUGUUUUUGUAGCAGUGUCUUGGCCCCACGGAGCACCUCACUCCUAUUACUCGUUGCGAGAAGAAACAAGCUAAGAAGAAGAUCAAAUAGAAGUCUAAGGAAGAAACAAGCUAAGAAGAAGAUAAGUUAUUAGGUACAGCGCAAAGAGGAGGAUCUGUAUUUGGUAUUGGUUCGGGUAAGCGGGAAGGAAAGUGGAGUUAUCGUAUUAGAAGAGAAGCGGGAAAGAAAGAAGCGGAGAGUAAUNNNNNNNNNNNNNNNNNNNNNNNNNNNNNNNNNNNNNNNNNNNNNNNNNNNNNNNNNNNNNNNNNNNNNNNNNNNNNNNNNNNNNNNNNNNNNNNNNNNNNNNNNNNNNNNNNNNNNNNNNNNNNNNNNNNNNNNNNNNNNNNNNNNNNNNNNNNNNNNNNNNNNNNNNNNNNNNNNNNNNNNNNNNNNNNNNNNNNNNNNNNNNNNNNNNNNNNNNNNNNNNNNNNNNNNNNNNNNNNNNNNNNNNNNNNNNNNNNNNNNNNNNNNNNNNNNNNNNNNNNNNNNNNNNNNNNNNNNNNNNNNNNNNNNNNNNNNNNNNNNNNNNNNNNNNNNNNNNNNNNNNNNNNNNNNNNNNNNNNNNNNNNNNNNNNNNNNNNNNNNNNNNNNNNNNNNNNNNNNNNNNNNNNNNNNNNNNNNNNNNNNNNNNNNNNNNNNNNNNNNNNNNNNNNNNNNNNNNNNNNNNNNNNNNNNNNNNNNNNNNNNNNNNNNNNNNNNNNNNNNNNNNNNNNNNNNNNNNNNNNNNNNNNNNNNNNNNNNNNNNNNNNNNNNNNNNNNNNNNNNNNNNNNNNNNNNNNNNNNNNNNNNNNNNNNNNNNNNNNNNNNNNNNNNNNNNNNNNNNNNNNNNNNNNNNNNNNNNNNNNNNNNNNNNNNNNNNNNNNNNNNNNNNNNNNNNNNNNNNNNNNNNNNNNNNNNNNNNNNNNNNNNNNNNNNNNNNNNNNNNNNNNNNNNNNNNNNNNNNNNNNNNNNNNNNNNNNNNNNNNNNNNNNNNNNNNNNNNNNNNNNNNNNNNNNNNNNNNNNNNNNNNNNNNNNNNNNNNNNNNNNNNNNNNNNNNNNNNNNNNNNNNNNNNNNNNNNNNNNNNNNNNNNNNNNNNNNNNNNNNNNNNNNNNNNNNNNNNNNNNNNNNNNNNNNNNNNNNNNNNNNNNNNNNNNNNNNNNNNNNNNNNNNNNNNNNNNNNNNNNNNNNNNNNNNNNNNNNNNNNNNNNNNNNNNNNNNNNNNNNNNNNNNNNNNNNNNNNNNNNNNNNNNNNNNNNNNNNNNNNNNNNNNNNNNNNNNNNNNNNNNNNNNNNNNNNNNNNNNNNNNNNNNNNNNNNNNNNNNNNNNNNNNNNNNNNNNNNNNNNNNNNNNNNNNNNNNNNNNNNNNNNNNNNNNNNNNNNNNNNNNNNNNNNNNNNNNNNNNNNNNNNNNNNNNNNNNNNNNNNNNNNNNNNNNNNNNNNNNNNNNNNNNNNNNNNNNNNNNNNNNNNNNNNNNNNNNNNNNNNNAUUCUUUAAUUCAAGUUGAUAUAACACUAGCAAACUGACUGUCCAAGGAGCCAACGGUUGUGAGCACAACUUAAGCUUUAUAGAAUGGAAUGUCUUCUCGUUCGGCAACGCUAAGCCAACAAUAGAGUCAAAGGAGUGAGUAAGUGCUUUCUUUACUCGCGGGAGGAGCCGAGCCCCCACCUUUUUAACUAGUCUUCAAGAUUGGACAUCUAUUCUUUCUUAAAGAGAAAAAGAUUCUUCUUUAUUAACGAUCCACGCAGGGAAUAAGGCAGACUAGCUUGAGUGCCAAAAUGACCAAGAAAAGAAAGAUAGUAAAGAUCCGGGCUGUCCCUAGAGAAGAGUACGAAGUACCGAGAAGUAGGUUAUGGAAUCAAGAUAGCGAGCUUCCGAGCAAGAUCGGGGAGACGCACGAACUACUUCAAUGCCCUAAGAGGACUCGGCUGUGCCUGUUGCUUAGACAGUCAAUAAAGUAGUCGUCCAGAACCAAGCCGGUGCGCCCCGCGGUAAAUAAAGGUGAGUGUAAGACUGAGCGGAUCUAGUUGAAGAGUGAGUGGCACUGGUUUAAGCCUGUAACUACUGAGUUGAAGUCUUGGAGUUAGCGCUUGAAGUCUGGUUGUCAGUACUAAGGAGUGGUUUCAUCCCCUGUUCCUGUUCUGGUUUAAUACCUUGGUUCAUCCCCUGUAUCAUCUGUGUUUGUAGUCGUUACUUGGCCCCCUUUAUGAAUCGACUGUUGAAGCCCAUCUAGAAGAAAGUAUCGGCUUUGAUGCGGUAAGUAAAGGAAAUCUCCGUUUAGGUCGGGCUAGAGAGGAAGGGGAUUUCGCUGGGUUUACAGCACCAACUAGUAGUGGAAUAGUGCUUUUGAAUCAGUAUUUGUUUACAGCGGAGAGAGAGGCUCGCCCCCCAGUUGAUAGUUCACUUUCCCAAUUAAUAGUCAAGGUAGGUCUAGUCGGGGAAGACAAUAAGAAUAGACGGGACCGGGACCUGGCUUCAUUCUUGUUUUACUGGUUGAAGUCUUGGACUGCUGAUCGGUAGGCUUACUGCUGAUCGGUAGGCUGUUACCCACUGGUUUCGGGCUUGGACUUACUGCUUUGACUCUUGUCCUGUAUAGCUCCUUUCUUGGACUACCGAGUUACAUUCUUGGAUUUAGUAGUUUGAUUCUAACUCGGGAACUGGGGAGUUAACUCUACACUACAGCUAAAGGCUCGGCUCCAGGUGGUAUUGGUUAAGGCUUCUACUUACUAGUGCAAUUCUGACUGAAUAGCCUUCCACUUACCGGCUCAAUUCUGAUCUUAGUAGCUAUAGCACUGGGUACAGGGGCUGCGGUAACAGAGUGAAGACAUCUGGUAAUAGGUCUAAUUCUUAUAUUACUACUAGCUCACCUCUCCUCUUUAGCUUAGCUUUAGGGUUAAGCUACCUAUCCUGGAAUUACAGAAUGGAAUGGAGUAUUUAUGGGCUUGAGUUAGCAGAGAGGAGCCAUAGGUAGGAGGUCGGCAAGAGAAGUUAUUGGCUUUCCCCUUGUUGUUGUCAAGCAAUCCGCAAACGGUAGAUCCGCAUGAGUAAGUAUCUGCAGUAGUAAAAGGCCUAAGAUUACAUCAUAUUAUAACAGGAGAGUACACUCCUUCGCCCGCAAAGUAAGCAGUUAGAGCUGUUUCAACAGAAUAAGUAGUUUCUCAAGCCCACUACUAGUUAUGAGUAAGCCCAGAAGAAGGGAGCUCAACGAAAGAAGUAUAGUAGUUAGUAGUCAAUCGAUUACCCUAUUCUAUAGUAUAGGCGAACACAGGACUUGGUCAAGAAACAGUUGUCCUCAUCUAGUAGUGAAUUAAGGCUAUAGCUACAUUCCCACUGAUUGACCGAUGCCCUAGGUACUAUAGAUAAGAAUGAAACCAUGAAGUCCAAGAAAGAAAGUAGUAAGUAACAGAGGGUAACUGCGCUCUCCACUCAAAAGGAAGAAUCAAACCACUGACUAGCAGGUAGUAGAUCAGAAUGAAACCCACUGGUACUAGUAUUAGAAGUAAGCCUACAGAUUCCCUGCAUUAGAAGUUAGCAUUCAACUCAGUAGUCAAAGAAUUCAUAUAGUUACCGCAAUUCUUCAUCUAGUAUACGCUUGGCGGGCUUAGUUUCGAGUCUGCUUAUUAGCUCCAUCUCCAAAGUCAGAAAUCCACUAUUUCCUUCCCGCUUCAAAGCCUGGUGGUACUGCUUAAGCUUUGUCAAUUAAUUCCUUGCCUGUAAUAUAGUAUAGUAUGUCUGUUCUUACCUUAGUCUGCUACUUAGCCGAUGUUAGGAAGAAAUUCAUUCGUUGGACAGUUUCCUAGCAGAAAUGAAGGAUUGAGAGCACUGGACUGGGUUAGUUACUUCUUCUAUUAUAUCUCUAGCUCAAAUCUAUUAUUAUGUUUUUUACCUUGCUUGAUACUGCUCCACCAGUAAGUAGAUAUACCUGAUAAGUAGGAAUACCUGAGUUAGGAGAAAGAGCCAGAGAAAGGCAUUAGUGUGCAUCUCCUUUUUGAAGAAAC